rnacentral:lncRNA from 1 species
CCCACAUUCAUUUAUAUAUAGAUGAUUGGGUGUCGUUUGUAUAAAACCAUCUUUUUGUAGGUUUUCUACUUUUUGGCAUACUUCUUUUAUACAGGUGCCUCUUUAUGCCCACGUUGUUAAUAAACUGUAACUUCAAAAAUACAAUGAACCUGGGAUUCUUGUCAAAGGCUGCAACCGCAAGACAUAGAGGGGGAGGUCAUAAGUGUCUACCGUAAAAUCGAUUUUGACAGAAUGAAAAAGCAUCAAUUUAUGGAGCACUAAUUUCAGAAGCUCAUGAUUCCUNN